rnacentral:lncRNA from 9 species
UGCUUUCAACAGCCCAGUCUGGCUAGUAAAGAAGUCAGAUGGCUCAUGGUGGAUGACUGUGGACUACGGAGAACUGAACAGGUUAGUUCCCUCAUCCAUGUGGCUGUGCUUAAUGCUGUCAUCAUCUUAGAAACCUUGGCCAGUGCCUAGGAGUGUAUCAUACUAUACUGGACUUAACAAAAAUUUUAAAACUAUAUCCUUGGUGGCUAGGUCACAAGAUCAAUUUAUUUUCACAUGGGUGGAACAAUAAUGGACUUUUCAAGUACUUCCCCAAGGCUAUCUGCCCAACUCCACCGUAUGUCAUGGGGUGGUAGCCUGAUUUGCAUCUCUGUUCUUCCGCAAUCAGUAAAAUGGGCUCAUUGCACUAAAGAUAAACUUUUUAUGUAUGAAGACUUGUCUCUGCUGUGGGACACAGUGCAGACUUUGUUGGAACUCUCUUUACACUUCCUGUAAAGAACAUAUGGGACUGAGGGUCAGAGCAGCAAGCCACCUUUGAGAAGCCAAACACUCUAGCAAAGCAGACUAAAGCUCUGGGUAUCUCCCAAGCAGGGAUGCCACUGGGGUAGAUGUGUCUGUGGCUCUGGAAGGUGUGGGCUGGGUUCUGUGGCAGAGACAACAGGGGAGAGUACCCCUAGGAUUUUGGUCCUAGUUCUGGAAGGGGACAGAUACCCUAUAUACCUGGUAGAGCAUCAGCUGCUAGCUGUGUGCACAGUGCUCCUCCAGGUAGAGCCUCUCAUGAAGGAGCAGCCUGUCAUGGUAAGAACUUCCCUUCCUAUGAAGGGGUAGACUGAGAAUAGGUUGCAUUGACCUACCUCUGCUGUGUUUCAAACUCCCAUGUUGACUGAGUGGCCUACUUGCAGCAGAGGAGACCCUGUCCACCAGCCACUGUCUCUAGAAAUGCAGGUGCUACAAGGCCUUUUGGGGUAUGUAGAUCCUCUGAAGCCCCCCUCCCCUGUUCUGUGGAGGCCCCUGCAGCCUCUCGGGAGGGAGUGGGGGAAAUUCCUGCUGAUGCUUGCUUUACAGAUGGGUCUACCAGGGGCAACUUGUCCACUUAAAUUGCAGUCAUUAUUCAGCUCAACACUGUCACCAUCUGGAUGGAAAGAAGAACUGCAGCAUCCAGGGGCUGCUCAGAGGACUUUGGCUGAUGAUCACUCAUCAUUGAAGAAGGAAAAAGCUGGAGCCAUUUUCAAGGAGGCAGCCUGAGAGAGCAAGGCGUUGAGACCAUUUCGACUGUGGACAUGACUGAACCCAGGUAAGACUUCUGUAUAAACUUAGACUUAAGUAUAAACUUGUAAGAUUCUGAUGGAGUUUACGGAGACCUACCUUUGCGGCAGCCCAUUAUAAUCCUUGUAAGUUCCAUUGCUUAAUAUCAUUAUUAUUAUUUCCAUUGCUUACUAAACUUGCCACUACCGAUCUGGAGUGGCCUGCUUUUUCUCUCCUUGCCCUGUUCGGGGGCCAGUUUCAGAUUUUACCCAGAAGUUUCCGAGUUUUUGAACCAAUGCACCUUCACUAAACUGAGCUUUUAACUUUUCUCUUUUGGUUGGUCUUGGUUUAUUUCCACAAACAGGUGUGUCAUUUAUACUAUUUAGAAAUCUCUUUGUAAUGUUUUCAAGUCUUUAAGAUACAAAUAAAUAUUUAUUUGCUGUG